rnacentral:rRNA from 1 species
GACGAACGCUGGCGGCGUGCUUAACACAUGCAAGUCGAACGAUGAAGCCGGAGCUUGCUCUGGUGAAUUAGUGGCGAACGGGUGAGUAACACGUGAGUAACCUGCCCUUGACUCUGGGAUAACUGCGGGAAACUGUAGCUAAUACCGGAUACGACCCUCGGAGGCAUCUCCUGGGGGUGGAAAGAAUUUCGGUCACGGAUGGACUCGCGGCCUAUCAGCUAGCUGGUGAGGUAAAGGCUCACCAAGGCGACGACGGGUAGCCGGCCUGAGAGGGGUACGGAACACAGUGGGACAGAGACACGGCCCAGCAGACUACGAGGGGCAGCUGCGGGGAAUAUUGGGCAAUGGGCGCAAGCCUGCUGCAGCACCGCCGCGUGCGGGUUGAGGGCCGUUGGGUUGUAAACGUGUUGUAGCAGGGAAGAAGCGAAAGUGAGGGUACCUGCAGAAAAAGCACCGGCUAGCUACGUGCCAGCCGCCACGGUAA